AACGAACGCUGGCGGCAGGCUUAACACAUGCAAGUCGAACGGGCACCUUCGGGUGUCAGUGGCAGACGGGUGAGUAACGCGUGGGAACGUACCCUUCGGUUCGGAAUAACCCAGGGAAACUUGGGCUAACACCGGAUACGUCCGCAAGGAGAAAGAUUUAUCGCCGAAGGAUCGGCCCGCGUCGGAUUAGCUAGUUGGUGGGUAAUGGCCCACCAAGGCGACGAUCCGUAGCUGGUCUGAGAGGAUGAUCAGCCACACUGGGACUGAGACACGGCCCAGACUCCUACGGGAGGCAGCAGUGGGGAAUAUUGGACAAUGGGCGAAAGCCUGAUCCAGCCAUGCCGCGUGAGUGAAGAAGGCCUUAGGGUUGUAAAGCUCUUUCAGCGGGAAGAUAAUGACGGUACCCGCAGAAGAAGUCCCGGCUAACUUCGUGCCAGCCGCCGCAGUAAG
rnacentral:rRNA from 1 species